CUAGCGACUUCAGUAGUUUGAUCCUGGCUCAGGACGACGCUGGCGGCGUGCCUAACACAUGCAAGUCGAACGAGAAUCGAUGGAUUGCGGCUUCGGCCAAAUGAAGUUGAGGAAAGUGGCGAACGGGUGAGUAACGCGUGAGAAACCUGCCUUUCAGUGGGGGACAACAGUUGGAAACGACUGCUAAUACCGCAUAAUGUAUCGAGAGGGCAUCCUCUUGAUACCAAAGCUUUAUGUGCUGAAAGAUGGUCUCGCGUCUGAUUAGCUUGUUGGCGGGGUAACGGCCCACCAAGGCGACGAUCAGUAGCCGGUCUGAGAGGAUGAACGGCCACAUUGGGACUGAGAUACGGCCCAG
rnacentral:rRNA from 1 species